GUCGUACGGGCUGGGGAAUGACAUCAGAAUCUUCCUAUCCCUGGGGAUCCUUCUUGUCCUCUCAGUUAUUGUGGGGGAAGACUUCAGAAGCAGACAGAGGAAGCACCAUGGGGAUGACACCAAUGGACAAUAAACCAGCCCAUCCUUCAACGAUGUCCUUUGAUCUGCAGUGCAGGUUUAACACCUCUUGUAAUACGACACCAACAGCUCACAAGUUACAAAGAAAUAUCCUGCGAGGAAAAGGAGAGAUCUACAAAAAGCACCACUUUGUGAAAGCAAAGUAAAAGUGUUGCUCUCUUGUGUUCUCUGAUAGCAUGUACAAGCUUAUUGUAAGGCUGCAUGACAUUUAGUUUCUGAGUUUCUGAAUUCAACAUUGCUGAUUGUAUAAAGUGUUACUGAACACCCUGCAGUGUUUACUAGAAACACAAUACUUUGCUUUUGCUGUAUCUAUUUUUCAUACCUUCUUCAAUUUAUUCAUGUUUUUUUCACACCUUAUGGAAAUACAUUUCUCAGGAGUGUUUAUCAGGAGAAGAUCAUUUCUCUUAAAAUCAUCACAGUGUAUCCAGAUCAGGCUCCCGCUUAUAACAAAGCUGGUGCUCUGAAUGAGUGAUGAGUUGUGGGAACAGGAAAUUAGCGUUGUGACAAGAGGGAGCAUGAACUUGAUACACUGCAGUUUGAUUCAUAAUUCACACAACAAUGUCAAUGAGAUUUGUUAUGAUUUCCAUCUUGCACACUGAACUUACAGCACAGAGCUGCAGAGUGCUGCUGACAUUACAGGGUUACUGUUAGCUUCAUUAGUCACACACACACACACUCUUUAUUAUGUAGAUGAAAAUGGCAUUUCUUUUGGAUAUGUUUAUUUUGUUGUGCAUAAUAAAUAUUUUGAUCUAA